rnacentral:lncRNA from 1 species
GUGCACCUUCACAGCCUUCUGGCUGGUGAGGAACGUCAGCAGAUCAAUGAUGCUUCCGCUGUGAACCUGCACCUCGCACACCAGCAGCUCCCCCACGUAACCCUCCUGGAUCAGCUGCUUCAUCUUCACAAAGGCGGGCAGGAAGCGCAGCACGUUCCCCAUGAUGCUCAUGAGUUUUGGGUAAUAAUGAGCCGCAGUCAUCAUCCUGAAGGCAUCCAGCGGAGUCGCUGUUCGGUCACAGAUGACAUUUUUUC